GUGGAUUAGAUACCCUAGUAGUCCACGCCCUAAACGAUGUCUACUAGUUGUUGGUGGAGUAAAAUCCAUGAGUAACGCAGCUAACGCGUGAAGUAGACCGCCUGGGGAGUACGGUCGCAAGAUUAAAACUCAAAUGAAUUGACGGGGGCCCGCACAAGCGGUGGAUUAUGUGGAUUAAUUCGAUGCAACGCGAAAAACCUUACCUGGCCUUGACAUGUACCGAAUUUAGCAGAGAUGCUUUAGUGCUCGAAAGAGAACGGUAACACAGGUGCUGCAUGGCCGUCGCCAGCU
rnacentral:rRNA from 1 species